rnacentral:lncRNA from 1 species
UUUAAAAAAAAAAAAACCUUAAUUUCAAUUUUUCCAUGGGGUGAAAAUUUGUGGUUGAACUAAUGUGCUUAUCUCUCUUUAGAUCGGCUCCCACACCUACCGCGCACUUUAGAUCGACUUCCACACCUAUCGCCCCCCAAACGAAAAAGAAAAAGAAGGAUUGCAUCGAAAAGUGUAUCGUUAACAUUCCCCCAUUGCACCGACUAGCUUAUGUUGUCGCGACCUAAAUUUCAGGUGCACCACAUACGGUUUAGGUUAAUGGAUUGUUAAGCCUAGAUUUAACUCGGGCUCUCCCAAGCCCAUACCAAUUCGCGACUUAGGUUCAAGUUCUUAACAUGCAAUUGAUUUUCAAUUAGGAGUCGCCACUAAUCUAUUUUUUGUGGGUAGAUUAGAAACCCAAGUAAAGUAAUGGGAGAAUUACUUCACUCCUACGAACCAGAGAUUGUGAGUUCGGGGACUUGGUUACACUAGAUUUCUCUAAUGCCCUUUCGGUACCAUUCUUUUUAUUUUCAAAAAUGUUUUUUUUU